AGUGAACGCUGGCGGUAGGCCUAACACAUGCAAGUCGAACGGCAGCACAGUAAGAGCUUGCUCUUACGGGUGGCGAGUGGCGGACGGGUGAGGAAUACAUCGGAAUCUACUUUUUCGUGGGGGAUAACGUAGGGAAACUUACGCUAAUACCGCAUACGACCUACGGGUGAAAGCAGGGGAUCUUCGGACCUUGCGCGAUUGAAUGAGCCGAUGUCGGAUUAGCUAGUUGGCGGGGUAAAGGCCCACCAAGGCGACGAUCCGUAGCUGGUCUGAGAGGAUGACAGGCAAACUGGGAACGGAGACACGGCCCAGACCCCUCGGGGGGCAAGCAGGGGGGAAUUUUGGAAAAGGGGCGAAAGCUGGACCCACCAAUCCCGGGGGGGGAAAAAAGGCUUGCGGUUUUAAAAGCCUUUUUGUGGGGAAAAAAAAAAAGCGGUUAAACCCCCCGCUUUUCUGACGGUCCCAAAAAAAAAAGCCCCGGCUAACUUCGUG
rnacentral:rRNA from 1 species